rnacentral:rRNA from 1 species
CGUCGCCGCGGGAAUACGUAGGGUGCAAGCGUUAAUCGGAAUUACUGGGCGUAAAGCGUGCGCAGGCGGUUUGUUAAGACAGAUGUGAAAUCCCCGGGCUCAACCUGGGAACUGCAUUUGUGACUGGCAAGCUAGAGUGUGGCAGAGGGGGGUGGAAUUCCGCGUGUAGCAGUGAAAUGCAUAGAUAUGCGGAGGAACACCGAUGGCGAAGGCAGCCCCCUGGGCCAACACUGACGCUCAUGCACGAAAGCGUGGGGAGCAAACAGGAUUAGAUACCCCUGUAGUCCCUGUCUCUUAUACU